GGCCUCCUGGUGCUUACCACAGGCUGUGUUCUCACAUUGUAUGGAAAGAGGAGGCAAAGUAAACCUAACCCAUAUACACCUCUGCUCAGGCCCUGUGCCCAGUCUAUAUUGGGGUGAGGCAUGG
rnacentral:snoRNA from 1 species